ACUGAUAGCGCAUAGUUAUGUGAUAUUCACGGCGACGAUCGUGUAUAUGCAUGCAUCACGUACAUAAGCAAAUAGGCCGAAUCCUACCUGCACCUAUUACUAUUGCUCCACCCAUCGACCGCUAUCUAGCAGGCAUCUAGAGUAUUAAGUAAAAUAUAGUAAUGCUUGGAGAACAAUGACAUGAUGUAGACAAAGAGAACUCCAUCAAUAUGGAUUAACCCCAUUGAUUUAUCCAUAGUGGAAAACAUACAAAGAUGUAUCUCUUCUCCUUCUGUUACAAGGAUAUAGAAACCCGUUAGAUUGAGCCGGCUAUAACACACCCCUCUCACUGAAGAAAUGUCAAUCUAGUUGGCCAUACUAUUUCAAUGGAUCAGAGAGAUUUAGGAAGCCAUCAUAAUCCUACAAAUAAGAAUCAUAAUUAGAAUUCAGAGAAGACUCAUAUCAUUAUCAUUAAUAAUCUAAACAUAAACCCACAAUUCAUCGGAUCCCAACAAAUGCACCGCACAAAAGGAUUACAUAGAAUAGACAAAAGCGAAGAUGUGACGAUCAUUGUAUUGAAGUGUAACACCGAAGAUGGAAUCCUAACCUUAUUUUUGCACGAAGGCCUCGAUAGGGAUGAAAGUGCAUCUCGUUGUUUUGAAGGAAUGGAUAUUGUUACAACUACAUGUACAAAAGAUAUGAGUAUAUGGAAUUGGAUUACACUCGCCACAAGCUAAUCAUGAACAUCACAAUACAUCAAUACAUUCAGUCACCAUGUAGAAGAGCAGGGUCCGGCAACGGCGAAAUCAAACGAGAAAAACGACGUCCAUCCUUGCUAUCCCAAGCUGUCGGCCUAGAACCCAUCCUAGAUCAAUGAAUAAUAAUAAGAAGAAGAAACUUGAAAUAGAAUAAGCAUCGCACUCACGUCAAUGUAUCACUUUACCUAUACAUGAAAAUAUUAUUAUAGUAAUCUGUGAGCCACAUGGACUCAGCAAUUGCAUUUCCAAAUGUAUCAAGACUCGCAAGCUUAAUGGAUGAGGUAUCUUUAAGUGGUGAGUCUGCAUCACACACUAAGUAGUUAUUUGGGUGGAUAACUUACGAGUACAAGAAUACGAGGGGGUGAUCUAUGCAUAAAUAGUUGUGAUAUAGAAGUGAUCACAAAGUGAUCCUGAACACCUACUUACGUCAAACAUAACCCCACACUAUCCUCUCUUGGAUCAAAAACUCACCGAGAAGAGACAGUCACGGUUACGCACAUAGUUGGCAUAUUUUAAUUGAGUUUACUUCAACUUUGCUAUGACCAGGUGUUAAAAAAAGUUUCCAAGUUGCCACAUAACCGUGGGCAUGACCUUCUGAAAGAUUUAACCCUGUAGGGGUGCUCCGACUAGUCCAUCACAAACUAGCACAAGCUGCAUUGGAGAGAAAACCUUAACCUCAAGAUAGCCUGAGGUAUCCUCAAUAUCCAAAUGCAAAAGACCUUCGGUAAGAGUAAAACAAAUCCAACAAGACCACCUGGCAGGCCAGAUCCCAAUAGGAUCCGGACGUUUUUAUUUCUCAGGGCACUACGUACCAAAUGGGACUAGCUAUGAGUUAAACCAAUCCUCGAGUUCCCUUGCGAUGGCCCUACACGCAACCCGUUUGGGACCAACACCAUCAGCAUUGGCCCCCUGUAUUAUGUUAAAUUAAUCCACGGGUAGCGCUAACUCCCUUUGCGUUACUAAGGGUGUUAAGUAUCAUUAUGUUGAGCAAAUAUAAUACCCACGUUGGGCCUUGUCAGAAGAGUUUUGUCCCAAAACAAAAAUCAAGGGGUUCUCAUAACAGGAACGUAACACCGGUACACAACUAACUAGGGCGACAAAGAUGGAACAAAACACCAAGCUAGAAGGACAAGCCUUCCACCUUUUACAAAGUAUAUAGGUGCAUUAAAUUAAAUUGCAGUAAUAUGGUGAUAUCUCAAAAUAUCCAUGUUGACACAUGGAAGCAACUGGACCCGCAACUAUCAAUGUUAUAAGAAGGUUGAGCAAGUGGUAAGAUAACCAAACAAAGGUUUCCUGGGAUGUUGAGGUAGUAAGAGGCUUUCCGUGGCAAUGUUCGGUGGCUUGACUUAACAGGUGGUAGACGGGGAGACAUAGCGAUAGAAACGGGACAACUAGCAUAGCAAUGAUAGUAGUGAUACCUAGGGAAAUGAUCAUCUUGCUUGUGAUCCCGUUUGGAAGAACAAUGAAUCCAUGAAGAAGACAAACCAAUGUAGUCGAAUGAAUCCUCACUCCAAACGCUUUGGACACUCUAUUAAGAAGAAAAAAUCUGGAAACAAACAAUCAACACACGAUAAACACCAGAGCAUAUGCAUGACAUGAUGUGGAAACAAAUAUGCAUGUCCGGAUUAAUAGGCAUGGCAUGGCAUGGCAAACACAACAAUCAAAUACUACACAUUAAGUGAAGGUAAAUAUGCAACAAGUUGCAUAUUGACGAAAAUACAAGUUCAAAUCAUUUAAUUCACUCUCGUUUACUUACACGACAAGCUUAAAUGUUGUUAAACAUGGCUAGAGGUGAAGUAUAAAUAAACUACACUAUCUAGGCAUUUUAAAUGAGGUCGGAAACAACAUGUGGCAUCUCCGAAAUGACCCCAUUUGUUAAUUUCGAAACUGGUCCAAAUAUUUCUAAAACAUGUUUUAUAUUUAUUAAGCAGCAAAAUAAAGUGGAUCAUGUGUUUCUACACGUCAUUCUAGUCAAUUUAUAUAUAUAGAUCAUCUAAAAUGGAGUUACGGUUUAAAAGAUAUGAACAACACAAGAUGAUAAGGCAUGAACGCAAAAAUGUAUGCAAAUGACAGCCAAAAGCAUUUUAAUCAUGGAUGCUACAAGAUAUUAAGAAACUACAUGAAAUUCUAGGCAAGUUUAAAUAAGGCCGGAACAAGGAAUAACAAUUCCAAAAAGUCCCCAUAUGCAAAUUAGGAUUUCGGUAAUGUUCUGAUUAUAACACAAUUUAGAGUUAUUAAAUAAGAAAAUAAAUGCUAUCAUAUUAUUGUACACGUUUUUCUGAUCAAGUUACAUAUGUAAAUCAUUUUAAUCGAAGCUACGAGUAAUUAAUUAUGAGACAAACCAUUUUUUACAUGACAUUAUGCAAAUUAAAUGAAAAGACCAAGUUAAACAUUUUAAUUCUGGUUGAAAGUUGGGCAUUGUAAAAAUAAAAAAAAUUAUAAACAUAUUUCAUGUAUUGAGUUUUUACAUGCGACGCACGGUUAAUUAGUUAUUAACAUUUUAAAACAUGACAUUUUUCUAUAUAUAUGCAAAAUAUUAGAUAAUUGUGAAAUUCCCCUAAGAAAAAAACACGGGCUGAAUGUGGCUGGGCGUUGGAUAAUUAACAAGUGGCUGUGGCACGAUACAUCAGAUCAUAGUCAGACCAAAUUGCUCACCAAGCGGGGCUUGGCCCAUCUGCAAUGGAGGUCGUCUUGGACUCACUAGGCCUGUGCGUGGCCGACCUGGCGCACGACAGGGAGCAGCUCGAGCGUAGUCCAGCUCGCUUGACAGAGAGACACCACUGCGGAAAAAGUUCAAUGACGGGGCGGCGGAAAAAGUUCAACGACGGGCCAGCACAACGGGAGCGCCAUGGGCGGCAGCAUCCCGGCGCGGUUCCUGCAGAGGAAGGCAGCAACAACGAAGGUUAGAGCAGGGGGAGGAAGAGGGAAGAGAAAAAUGACAGGUUGAGGAGCAACGCGGGGCGACCCAAUCCUUAGGGCAGCCAGAGGUUCGCUGACGAGGAGCUAUUGGGGCCAUCCAUGUGUUUCUACAGGUUCCUGUUGAGCGAACAGAGAGGGAUAAGGGGAAGAGAGAUAGAAAAAAGGGAAACGUUUGUCGCUGGUGCGCUGGCCGAACAGUUCGGCCGGUCGUGCGCGACCCCGCGCAUGCAGUGAUUGGUA
rnacentral:lncRNA from 1 species